GUAGUCCACGCCGUAAAAUCUAUGAGUAACGCAGCUAACGCGUGAAGUUGACCGCCUGGGGAGUACGAUCGCAAGAUUAAAACUCAAAUGAAUUGACGGGGGCCCGCACAAGCGGUGGAUUAUGUGGAUUAAUUCGAUGCAACGCGAAAAACCUUACCUGGCCUUGACAUGUACGGAACUUUCCAGAGAUGGAUUGGUGCUCGAAAGAGAACCGUAACACAGGUGCUGCAUGGCUGUCGUCAGCUCGUGUCGUGAGAUGUUGGGUUAAGUCCCGCAACGAGCGCAACCCUUGCCAAUAAUUGCCAUCAUUUAGUUGGGCACUUUAUUGGGACUGCCGAUGACAAAUCGGA
rnacentral:rRNA from 1 species